rnacentral:lncRNA from 1 species
GUAGAAGUGUGCUCUUUAUGCUAUUGUAUUGAUUUAGCCUGGCAACUUUGAAGCAACUUUAUUUUUGGUAUUUUCUAGUUAUUGCUUUGCUUAGUUUUUGUUUGUAUUUUGAGCACUGAAAAUGUUUGCACGCUUUUGAACAUAGAGAAAUAAAUAUAUAUUUUUGGGAAAAGAAGCUUCCAUCUCCCUCUGUCUCCUCCACCGCCGACCAUUCAUGCGACAGCAGGGGUAGAGGGUUAGAGUCUCUGGGACAGCGCGGCAGAGUACGUGUCUGAUCGGAGGGUGACUCCCCCUUGCAAGGUGAAAAGUGAAGAGAAUUAUUUUAUCUUAUUAGCAUGUGUUAUACUAUAUGUUUUUGUUUUAUGUUACAGUUAGUUUAGAAGUUAGGAAUACUAUAUACUCUUUAGUAGGAAUACACAUAAGCAAGUCAGUUGACCCUUCCUUGACCUGAAGACUGGUCAGACAGUUGGAGCCAGCCAGACAGGAAAGGGUAGAUCCCCAUCGUAAAGCAUGACAACGUAGUUUACUGGUGUUGAUAAGUUCCUUGGCAGGAAUAUGACUUCGGACCUGGACAUCUGGAGAAGAUAAUGGACAAGAAGGACCACACCAACACCAAAGGAGGCUGGAAGAAGAAGAUGGGGUCAUCCAAGAAGAAGGACUGGAUUGGACUGAAUUAGCAUCAAUAAUUUACAUAUGUCUUUCUAUAAAAGACUGGGUCAAGGGAUAGUUAGGUUGUCAGACUUCAUGCCCUGACAAUUGACUUUGUUGUUGCUAGGGUUAUGAACUGGCCCAGAGCUCUGUAAUAUUUGUAUCUUGAAUUGAUUCUGUUUGCUAAAUACAUUUGUUUGCUAAAUACAUUUGUUUGCUAAAUACAUCUGUUUGCUAAAUACAUUUUGAAAUUGACAUUUGUUUACUUGAAGUCUUCAUUUAAAGAACACGCGGAUUGGCAGUGACACACGAGAGGUACUGCAAUCCAACAAUUUGGUGACCCCGACGUGUUGAAGACAGAGAAGUCAUCUGAGGCAAAGAAUUCAACAACGGUCACUUCGGAAGACAACUGACGACAAAGGGAUCCCUAAUAAAAGGUAAGCAGACACCUGUUUAAUCAAAAGCUCUGCACAUUGGCAAUUUCCAAAAAAUUUGUCGUCACUGUCAAUUGAAGUGUCCUAGUUAUAAAUUCCAGAUACAAAUAUAAAAAUAUUGAAAAAACAGGGAAGUACUGUUGAAAAAACAGGGAAGUACUGUUGAAAAACAGGGAAGUACUGUUGAAAAAAUCAGGGAAUUACGG